AGCAGUUUAUUCUAAACAGUGGAAGCACAAAAAUGUUCAGACUCUUUGGUCUUCUCAUUUUCAUUAACACUGCACUGACUACAGAUGUUGUUCAGCCCAGUCACCUGAUGAGGGUUCAGCUUGGAGACAGUGUGACCCUGACAUGCUUCUGUCAAGGAGAAACAACUUUUGUUACUUUGUUUAAGCAAGCUGUUGGUCGGAAGCCCCAGCCCAUGGCGAAAGCACUUCUCUACGUACCUGGUGAAUUUUACAAGGAAUAUAAAAGCAUAAAACGUUACUCCUUACUGAAUGCAGAGGGGAGUUUUAACCUCACUAUUUCUAACGUGGAGCCGUCAGAUUCUGCAGUGUAUUAUUGUGCUGCUGUGUUUCUUCAUGAGGUCACCUUCGGGAAUGGAACCUUUGUCAUAAUCACAGGUAAAGACUCCAACAGCAGGACUGUGGUACAGCAGCCUGUGUCUGACACAUUGCAGCCAGGAGACUCUGUGAGCCUGCAGUGUACGAUAGAGACUGGGAGCUGUGCAGGAGAACACAGUGUUUACUGGUUCAGACAUGGAUCAGGAGAAUCCCUUCCUGGAGUCAUUUACAGCCAUGGAAACAGCAGUGAUGAGUGUGAGAAGAGCCCUGAGGCUGGAUCUCCUACACGGAGCUGCGUCUACAGCCUCCCCAAGGGGAACCUCAGCCUCUCCGAUGCUGGGACUUACUACUGCGCUGUGGCCAUGUGUGGGGAGAUGCUGUUUGGGAACGGCACAUAGCUGGAUAUAGAUGGUAACACCCAGUGUGGGGAGAUGCUGUUUGGGAACGGCACACAGCUGGAUAUAGAUGGUAGCACCCAGUGUGGAGAGUAUAUCUGCUUCAAAGUUUUAUUUAGCUUAUUCUGCUAUUAAGACAUUUAUUUCUUUUUUUAAUGUAAUGAAUUUUCUAAUUUAAGUGCUUAAAUUAAAUUACACAGAUGUUAAUUUAAUAAUUAUCCAUCCAUCCAUCCAUUUUCCAAACCGCUUAUCCUAUUGGGUCGCGGGGGGUCCGGAGCCUAAUUUAAUAAUUAUUUCAAAUAUUAAUAUCCAUCCAUCCAUCCAUUUUCCAAACCGCUUAUCCUAUUGGGUCGCGGGGGGUCCGGAGCCUAAUUUAAUAAUUAUUUCAAAUAUUAAUAUAAAUUGUUAAAAUGCAAAAUACUAGAAGUUCAUGUUAAAAAUGGACUAUUUACAAAACAACUGCUGUAAUGUGUUAUCGAUUUGAUCUUUAACUAAUGUAAUGUAAGCAAAUGGGAAAUGUGUCUCUAUAUCAUUAUGCUGAAAUCUAUCUCUUUGUUACAGGCUUUCAGAAGCUGCUGGAUCCUCUUCACUCUGGCUUGCUGAUAGUUUUAUCUUGCAGCAUUAUUCUGAACGUUGCUCUCAUUUGUAUAAGAUGUAAACUGACCUGUACACACUGUGCAGAUGAAAAGAACAGUGAUAUAUCAAAAGUGGAAUGGUCACGCAAGCAAUGCCAUGACGAGGACACACUGAAUUACGCUGCCCUGAACCUUAAGAAGCCAAAACCCAGGAGACAGAAGAAAGACGGGAAUAAUGACACUCUGUAUUCUGACCUCCGCUACAGAGAUUAUGAAUAAAGAUGCUUCUCAUUCAUGUCAGUCACACAGAGUGUUCAGGGUGUAGCUUUAAUAAUGUUCAGAGGAGGGCAGGGGAGCCAGUGCUUCUGAGACUGAAUCACGGGAUUUUACGGAGCACCGGUGCUGAGUUUGGUGUCAGUGUGUUUGGGGCGCAUUUUUACUGGAAGUGCAAAUGUUCAAGCCAGACUGGGGGCUGAG